GAUGAAGAACGUAGCGAAAUGCGAUACGUAAUGUGAAUUGCAGAAUUCAGUGAAUCAUCGAAUCUUUGAACGCACAUUGCGCCCGCCAGUAUUCUGGCGGGCAUGCCUGUUCGAGCGUCAUUUCAACCCUCAAGCACAGCUUGGUGUUGGGACUCGCGUUAAUUCGCGUUCCCCAAAUUGAUUGGCGGUCACGUCGAGCUUCCAUAGCGUAGUAGUAAAACCCUCGUUACUGGUAAUCGUCGCGGCCACGCCGUUAAACCCCAACUUCUGAAUGUUGACCUCGGAUCAGGUAGGAAUACCCGCUGAACUUAAGCAUAUCAAUAAGCGGAGGA
rnacentral:misc_RNA from 1 species